CCUACGGGGUGCAGCAGUGAGGAAUAUUGGUCAAUGGCCGGAAGGCUGAACCAGCCAUGCCGCGUGAAGGUCAGUGCCCUAUGGGCGUUAAACUUCUUUUGUGCGGGAGCAAUAAUGGUCACGUGUGGCCAGACGAGAGUACCGUACGAAUAAGCAUCGGCUAACUCCGUGCCAGCAGCCGCGGUAAUACGGGGGAUGCAAGCGUUAUCCGGAUUUAUUGGGUUUAAAGGGUGCGUAGGCUGUGAGGUAAGUCAGCGGUGAAAUGCCCGCGCUCAACGGGGUGAAGUGCCAUUGAUACUGGCUGGCUGGAAUGCAGAUGCGGUGGGAGGAAUGUGUGGUGUAGCGGUGAAAUGCAUAGAUAUCACACAGAACACCGAUUGCGAAGGCAUCUCACGAAUCCGCGAUUGACGCUGAUGCACGAAAGCGUGGGUAUCAAACAGGAUUAGAUACCCUGGUAGUC
rnacentral:rRNA from 1 species